rnacentral:RNase_P_RNA from 2 species
UGUGCAGGUCGUCUCAUCGAUCUUUCUCUUGGGAAAGGUAGGAAAGUCCGGGCAACAACCGGGUGCCGUACCUUCUGAAAGGAAGGGUUUGCAAGGUUAAGCUUGUAAACCAGAUAGUGCCACAGAAAACAAACUACCCUGACAGUAAUCGUCAGGGAAAAGGUGAAAAGGUGAGGUAAGAGCUUACCGGUGUUUUAGUAAUAAAGCACGCAUGGAAAACCUUACGGGUUGUAAGAUCAAAUAAGUUCUGAACUUGGGAACCCGAACCAGUGCCUUGUGCCGUCAGAACGGGUGGAUCGCUUAGAUAAAUGAUGAGAGCCCGAAAGGGAACAGAACCCGGCUUACAGACCUGCGUUUUAU